rnacentral:rRNA from 1 species
UACGAAGGGGGCUAGCGUUGCUCGGAAUCACUGGGCGUAAAGCGCACGUAGGCGGAUUGUUAAGUCAGGGGUGAAAUCCUGGAGCUCAACUCCAGAACUGCCUUUGAUACUGGCGAUCUUGAGUCCGGGAGAGGUGAGUGGAACUGCGAGUAUAGAGGUGAAAUUCGUAGAUAUUCGCAAGAACACCAGUGGCGAAGGCGGCUCACUGGCCCGGUACUGACGCUGAGGUGCGAAAGCGUGGGGAGCAAACAGG